rnacentral:rRNA from 1 species
AUAUUAUUAAGUGGAGGAAAAGAAACCAAAAGGGAUUCCCCCAGUAGCGGCGAGCGAAAAGGGAUCAGCCCAAAGCCGAAUCCCGCGUCCCUUGGGCGCCGGGAAAUGUGGCGUAUGGGAGAAACCUAACAGCGCGUUGAAGGCGGCUCAAGUUUCCAUGAACGGAACUAUUGACCAAAGCGGGUGUGAGUCCCGUACAGUCGCUCUUCGCACGUUGUGUCGGAUUCUUCCCAGGAGUCGGGUUGCUUGAAAGUGCAGCCCAAAGUGGGUGGUAUGCUCCACCUAAGGCUAAAUAUUCCCGAGAGACCGAUAGCAAAAAAGUACCGUGAGGGAAAGUUGAAAAGAACUUUGAAGAGAGAGUUCAAUAGUACGUGAAACCGCUUAGAGGUAAACGGGUGGGCCCUCGAAGUCUGAAGGCAUGUUCGGUUCAGAAUCGACCUGGGUCUCCUUUUAUUUCCGCGCGCAGACAAACGAGUUGUCUCGCCGAUUUUUAGGAGGCGCUGGUUCGGUCCGCAUUCCUGUUCUGUCAGUAAGGGGCCGCGACUGGUUGGUCGACCGUCGGAAGGACUCGGAUAGAAGGUGCCCUACCGCGCUCCGGCGCGGUGGGUGUUAAACGUCUGAAGUAUAGCUGAUGGUCGAACCGACUUAGGACGAGAGAACCCUCGCACGGCGUUCCCUCCGAAUGGAGUGUUCUCGCGGGCGUCCGACGUCAAUCAUCUGAUUGUUUACGCUUGCGCGUGACAAUCUGCAUGUUGGCCCGGGCGUACGCGAGUCACAGGGAUAGCCAAGGGUCAGCGGUCAGUAGAUCGGGUCCCACCCGACCCGUCUUG